CCACAAUGGACGAAAGUCUGAUGGAGCGACGCCGCGUGCGGGAUGAAGGCCUUAUGGGUUGUAAACCGCUGUCAGGGGGGAAGAACAUCGGAAUGAACAAUACUCAUUCCGACUGACGUUACCCCCAGAGGAAGCUCCGGCCAACUCCGUGCCAGCAGCCGCGGUAAUACGGGGGGAGCAAGCGUUGUCCGGAAUUAUUGGGCGUAAAGGGCGUGUAGGCGGCGUGGUAAGUCGAAUGUGAAAUCUCACGGCUCAACCGUGAAACUGCGUUCGAAACUACCCUGCUUGAGUACGGGAGAGGUGUACGGAAUUCCUGGUGUAGCGGUGGAAUGCGUAGAUA
rnacentral:rRNA from 1 species